rnacentral:ncRNA from 1 species
ACAGCCUCUAGUCGAUGGACCAAUGUAGGUAAGAGAAGUCGGCAAAACGGAUCCGUAACCUUGGGAUAAGGAUUGGCUCUGAGGACUGAGCCGGUCGGGCUGGGGACCUGAAGCAGGAACGGCACUGCACCGGGACUGGGCGGGGCUCGCCGUUCACGCGGCGCGGCCAAGCCCGGACCAGCGUCGGGACCUUCCUGUGGAAAGCCUCAGCUGCGCGGCGUCUGAGGGCUUCGUGCCCAAAGUGCUAUGCUUCGGUCGGCAAAAAACAGUCAACUCAGAACUGGCACGGACCGGGGGAAUCCGACUGUCUAAUUAAAACAAAGCAUUGCGAUGGCCGCUGGUCGGUGUUGACGCAAUGUGAUUUCUGCCCAGUGCUCUGAAUGUCAACGUGAAGAGAUUCAUCAAAGCGCGGGUAAACGGCGGGAGUAACUAUGACUCUGGGGCACGUCCUGCAGCAGUGUGAGCGCACUCACGGUGAAAGGAUCAAGCGACACAAUGGUAUUGUCGACUACCUGUGCAAGAAGUUUAAGGUGGACAAGU